UACGUAGGGGGCAAGCGUUGUCCGGAAUCAUUGGGCGUAAAGAGCGUGUAGGCGGCUCGGUAAGUCCGCUCUGAAAGCCCGGGGCUCAACCCCGGGAGGCGGGCGGAUACUGUCGGGCUAGAGUCCGGAAGAGGCGAGUGGAAUUCCCGGUGUAGCGGUGAAAUGCGCAGAUAUCGGGAGGAACACCAGUAGCGAAGGCGGCUCGCUGGGCCAUUCCUGACGCUGAGACGCGAAAGCUAGGGGAGCGAACAGG
rnacentral:rRNA from 1 species